CGUACCUGAUCCCUCGGGAAUUGGGAAAAUCUUUGUGAGUAUGGUUAUGUGGGGACCUGGAAUUGGCCACCCCAAGAUAUGUCUCUUUGGCAUCAGGAUUAGUUGAGGCUGAUUGCUUUUGAUAAACUGGGACAGGGAAGGAGGCUCUGAGGAAUGGAACUUGCCCUUUGUUAGGACACGUUUACAUUUGCAGGGUAAAUCUCUAUCUGUAAAAGGUGCCUCCCUCUCUGUACCAGCAAGAAGAAAGGAGAUGACCUUCUCUCUAGAAACUCUUAAUCAAUACCAAAGGCAAGGACUUAAAUCUGCAUUUUAUUGUGCUAGUCUUGUAACCUCCUGUAACUGACUUCCCUCCCCAUCCCAACGUUGGCAUUUCUUUAAGGAUUAACCAUCUUUCCUUAGGGAAGGAACUGAUUGCUGUGCUCACCUGUGAGCGCCCAGCUCCAGACAAUAGACUUGCCUCCUGCUACGCCCACCGAGAUAGCAGACCAUUACCUGCCAUGUUCAUCAAGCACUGUGCUGACAGGGCAAUCUAACGAACCUACAUUUGGGAAGAGGAAAUGUCUUCCUCACCUACAGUUUUGGUGCAGUCAGCAGGAUAAAAUUUCACUGGCUGGACACUGCUUGCUCCUGGACUGCUGCAGCUGAGAGAUCCUGGACCCCUGACGAGAGCCGGCAAGAGGACAAUUCACCUGGCAAUUAUGACUACCAGGCAUAAAAGGGAUGCAAUGCUGAGGGACCCCCCACCAUCGCCCCAUGCUAUAGGAACCCCACAGGCAGAACAAGUAGGACACUGCCCUAUGUUCAGGAAAUUUUCAAGGACACAAUUGGAAACAUUGGUUGUAUUACCAAGGCUUUGACUGGAAUGUCAUAUUUGAGAGGAACAUACAGACUCGGAUAUGACAAUACAGCCUUUGAGGAAUAAGGUUCACUUUCUGAAAUAAGCCACUUGGAAAUAUGGGCCUGGUACCUGGUUUACAGAGAUUCUGGCAAUCUUACCUGGCCUAACUUUGGGAGACCACCUGCAUCGCCGCCUUCUAAAAUGACUUUAACUGGACUGAUCUAUUACCAGGACUAAGAAAUGUGUUAAGUGAGAUGAAACAAUCUACCACUCAGAUUCUGGACUGUGAAACUUCUUAAAGUUUCAAAGGAGGGACUGUGGGGACCUGGAAUUGGCCGCCCCAAGAUAUGUCUCUUUGGCAUCAGGAUUAUUUGAUGCUGACUGCUUUUGAUAAACUGGGACAGGAAGGAGGCUCUGAGGAAUGGAAUUUGCGCUUUGUUAGGACACGUUUACAUUUGCAAGGUAAAUCUCUAUCUGUAAAAUAUGCCUCCCUCUCUGCACCAGGAAGAAGAAAGGAGACGACCUUCUCUCUAGAAACUCUUAAUCAAUACCAAAGGCAAGGACUUAAAUCUGUAUUUUAUUGUGCUUGUCUGGUAACCUGCUGUAACUGACUUCCCUACCCCUCCCAACGUUGGCAUUUCUUUAAGGAUUAAGCAUCUUUCCUUAGGCUAGGAACUGAUUCCUGCGCUCACCUGUGACCACCCAGCUCCAGAAAAUAGACUUACCUCCUGCUAUGUCCACCGAGAUAGCUGACCAUUACCUGCUAUGUCCAUCAAGCACUGUGCCAACAGUGCAAUCUUGUGUCUAUUGUGCGAGGGACAUUUCAAUCACAUGUGAAACACCCCAUUUGGGGGUAUAUAAUCACUCUGUGCACUCCACUUCUUUGGCGCCCUUUCUUCCUUCAGGAAGAGAGGCCCUGGGCCAUGGUUCCUCAUAAAGCUUUGUUUAAUUUUCUCUUGCUAGUCUGUCUCAUGUGAAUUUAAUUUGUUCUCUGGCCAGACGAACCCACAUUUGGGAAGAGGAAAUGUCUUCUUCCCCUACAACUACUUCUUGGAAUUCUUGUACUAGUCAUAAUAUUCAAACUAAUUGUUGUUUUCUUUACUCAGUGUUGUAAGAGUAGCAUACAAACUAGAGUAAUGAUUGCUCGAUGGCUUGUGAUGGUUGAUCUGUCUUAUAACCCUGGACAAAUUUCCUUUUCUGAUAGUGACUAUGACUAAGAAUUCAUUUCCGACUAAUCCUUUUAAAAGUUCUGAGUUAUUAUCAUUACUGUACUUGUUCUAUAAUCAUAAACAAUGUAAAUGUGAAGUGUCAUAAAAAGCACAUAUACAAUGUUUGCACAACUAUCUAAAAUUAAUUGGAAAUUACAUGACAUAUGAAAUGCUUCCUCUGUUAAUAUAUAUAUAACUCUAUGCUUGUCCACUAUUUCCCCCCCAAAGUGGUCGACUAGGCAAAUAAAUGAGCUAAAAGCCUAUCACCGAGGGACAUGAUGGACCCAGGGCAGGCAGCAACCACCCUGGCGCUGAGGGACAAUAUUUUGAUCAUCAAUGCUUUCUAUCGAAAGAUUAGAGAUCAAAAGGGGAAAAUGACAAAUAAAAAUGGCAAGUAAUAGGAUAUAUUGUAGUAUAUGAGGAAGCCAUUUGGUAUAAACCUAAUUUGGCUUGACCUUGUCUUUCCAAAAGGGCCUGACGGAGGCCGUUGAGCAUGCAUUGUAUAUCUGCUUUAGAGAUUCCCUAUGGCAAGAGCAAAAGGCCCUUGAGAUAAAGGUGCAACUUCCCUCCCCCUCCCAACGUUGGCAUCUCCUUAAGGAUUAAGCAUCUUUCCUUAGGCUAGAAACUGAUUGCUGUGCUCACCUGUGACCACCCAGCUUGAGACAAUAGACUUGCCUCCUGCUACACCCACCAAGAUAGCAGACCCACUACCUGCUGUGUCCAUCAAGUGCUGUGCUGACAGGGCAAUCUUGUGACUAUUGUGGGAGUGACAUUUCAAUCAUAUGUGAAACACACUCUUUGAGGGUAUAUAACCAGCCUGUGUACCCCCACUUCUUUGGAGUGCUCUGUUCCUUUCUGAAAAGACUCCUGGGUUAUAAUCCUAAGAUUUAAGCUCAGAAUAAACUCACCCAAAUUUUCAUUUAUAAAUUGGUUAUGGAUUAUUUUCGUCGACAGUUCAUAGCAAAUGGCUUCCUCAUAUUCUCCAAUAUAUCCUAUUGCUUGCCAUUUUUAUUUGUCACAUCUCAG
rnacentral:lncRNA from 1 species